GGAUUGGGGUCGGGUUGGUUGCGGUGAAGUGUAAGAAGCUUCGGAGUUUGGAUCUCUCCUACACCAUGAUCACAAAGAAGUGCCUUCCUGCUGUCAUGCAAUUACCAUGUCUUGAAGAUUUAGCUUUAGCUGGAUGUCUUGGAAUAAAUGAUCAGGCACUUUUGAGUCUUAAACAGGGAUGCAUGUCAUUAGGGGUACUUGAUGUUUCAAACUGUCAGCAUGUCACUCAUCUUGGAUUAUCUUCAAUAUUAAGUAGAGCUCGGGUUUAUGCCAACUAAAUUUAGUGUACUUCUGUCCUUUUACUCAAUCUCUGGCCAGCAACUUACAGAAAUCUCGAAACUGCAGUCAAUCAGACUAGAUGGCUGCCAGUCACGUCAGCUGGAUUAAAGGCCAUUGCUAAAUCUUGCACAUCUCUGAAGGAGCUUAGCUUGAGCAUGCUCAGGAGUAAUGAUGAAGGUCUCUCAUCUGUUUGUUUUUGCUUUUUUCCUGUUUUCUUUAACUAUUUUGCUUCCUAUGCUGUGGGAUAGUUUUUGUACCGAAAUUUAAGAAAUUUUGUAUUUAGUAUGUUAAGUUUUCAUGUGUUUUA